CUUGCUUAUGAGGACACUAAGAGCGACCAGAACCAGCUUUUUUGUGGUAGGCCAACCUCUGACUCCCGCUAAGCCUGUUCUCUCUCUCUCUCUCUCUCUCUCUCUCUCUCUCUCAGGCAACUCAGGAGUGUGGCCCCUGAGAAGAUUCCAAGCACCACAACAGGUUGGAAGGGAGCAUGGCUCAGCAAGAUGGAAAGAGAUCAGAAUCCUGAAAAUAACAGCUGCAGGAACCCAUACCUUCCAGAAGGCAUCCAGAAUCUCCUGGAAGAUUCUAGCAAGGACCCUCUUCCUCUUUCACCAAAACACAUGUGUUGGGGUGGGGGACUUCCAAUUCCAAGGUCUCCUCCCAAUCUUGAUCCCCAUUCUCCCUCAAAGCACUCAGAACUCCAGAAACCAUACCAUACCCAUGGUAAGUGCUGAUGCAUCCUUCCUUCUUCCCUCUCCUUGCAGGGCCCUGAACUCAGGAACAGAGAUGUAAGGCUCCCAUAAUAGACUAGACACCAAUGUGCAGGUCCAGAGGACCACGUCUGAGAGGUCAAAACAUGGUGUGAGGAAGAGGUCGGGUGACCAUGGGUAGGAUCCUGUUUGUGAGAGAGGCCUCAUGGCAGAGCCUAGAGACGUCUCUUCAGGCCCCCAUUGGGGGCCCAACAGUAGUCCCCAGCUCCUCACCUCUCCCUCCCCAGUGACAAUUUUGAAGAGUUGGUCACCAUCCAAGGGAUGGCCAUCAAGGUUAACUGAUCCUCUGAUGACCCCUUGUCCCCCCGCUGAUGUGACAUGGCCCACUCCAGGCUCCCACAGAACCCAGGUCCUGUCUCUCAGCCCUGCCACCCUCUGAUCCUCCUCCUUCCCCUCUCUUCUCAGCUGGGCUCCAGGCAGCUAUGGGGCUGUGCUGGGUCCAGCCAGGGCGUGAAGGAGACUGUGCUACUUCACACUCCUUCAUGAUCUUGUGGACUCUGGGUGAGGGCCAGGGAGCAGAUUCCAGUCCUCAGCCAGGUGGGAUGGAGGUUAUGUUUGCAGAAUGGGCUGCCCUGGGCCCUCCUCCCCAAGUCUUCCUGGGAUCAGAGCCUCUUUUCUCACAGAGAAGCAAAAGAAGAACAGGAAACUUCCCAGAGGCGGCCAGCACAGGUGUUGGGAAAACAAAAGAGCAGGUUAUGGCCCACAGGUCCCCUGGGACAGCCCGUGGGAGGAGAGCACCCCCGGCCCAG
rnacentral:lncRNA from 1 species